rnacentral:rRNA from 1 species
UCAGGCCUAACACAUGCAAGUCGAGCGGUAACAUUUCUAGCUUGCUAGAAGAUGACGAGCGGCGGACGGGUGAGUAACGCGUAGGAAUCUGCCCAGUAGUGGGGGACAACAGUUGGAAACGACUGCUAAUACCGCAUACGCCCUACGGGGGAAAGGGGGCUUCGGCUCUCGCUAUUGGAUGAGCCUGCGUGAGAUUAGCUGGUUGGUGAGGUAAUGGCUCACCAAGGCGACGAUCUCUAGCUGGUUUGAGAGGAUAAUCAGCCACACUGGAACUGAGACACGGUCCAGACUCCUACGGGAGGCAGCAGUGAGGAAUAUUGCACAAUGGGCGCAAGCCUGAUGCAGCCAUGCCGCGUGUGUGAAGAAGGCCUUCGGGUUGUAAAGCACUUUCAGCAGUGAGGAAAGGUUGUUGGUUAAUACCCAGCAACUGUGACGUUAACGACAGAAGAAGCACCGGCUAACUCCGUGCCAGCAGCCGCGGUAAUACGGAGGGUGCGAGCGUUAAUCGGAAUCACUGGGCGUAAAGCGCAUGCAGGCGGUUUGCUAAGCGAGAUGUGAAAGCCCCGGGCUUAACCUGGGAACUGCAUUUCGAACUGGCAAACUAGAGUCUUGUAGAGGGGGGUAGAAUUUCAGGUGUAGCGGUGAAAUGCGUAGAGAUCUGAAGGAAUACCAGUGGCGAAGGCGGCCCCCUGGACAAAGA